GUGGGGAAUAUUGGACAAUGGGCGAAAGCCUGAUCCAGCCAUGCCGCGUGUGUGAAGAAGGUCUUCGGAUUGUAAAGCACUUUAAGUUGGGAGGAAGGGCAGUAAGUUAAUACCUUGCUGUUUUGACGUUACCGACAGAAUAAGCACCGGCUAACUUCGUGCCAGCAGCCGCGGUAAUACGAAGGGUGCAAGCGUUAAUCGGAAUUACUGGGCGUAAAGCGCGCGUAGGUGGUUUUGUAAGUUGGAGGUGAAAUCCCCGGGCUCAACCUGGGAACUGCCUCAAAAACUGGAUGACUAGAGUACGGUAGAGGGUAGUGGAAUUUCCUGUGUAGCGGUGAAAUGCGUAGAUAUAGGAAGGAACACCAGUGGCGAAGGCGACUACCUGGACUGAUACUGACACUGAGGUGCGAAAGCGUGGGGAGCAAACAGGAUUAGAUACCCUAGUAGUCC
rnacentral:rRNA from 1 species